rnacentral:rRNA from 1 species
UUCCGUGUUGACAUCACUCUGCAGCCCAAGACUGGUUGCCCACUGAAGCUAAGCAGGGUUGAGCCUGGUCAGUACCUGGAUGGGAGACCUCCUGAGAAAACUAGGUUGCUGUUGGAA